GUUUUGUAGGGGAUUUUAGUCGGCAGGAGAUUUACUUUAUGAAACUUUUUCUCUAGUUGUUGGUUUACUGUUAUAGAAGCAACAUUUGAAUGGAAACGAAAACGACUACGGUAAUUUCCUCGCACGCGAUCAAAUCUCGUACUCGUAGUCGUACUCGUAGUCAAAUCUAACUUAACCUGAAGAUUAGGUACGGUACAGAGAGUGGGCGUUUAUUUGAUUGGAAAUAUGAUUAAAAGCUUUUAUCGACUUUAACUAAACUUGAUCGACUAAAAUGGAUUAGAGCCAAUUCAGUAUUAUUUGCGGCUAAGAGUUACAACUCAUUCGAUGACGAUCUUAGGACAAUAGUAAAUAGACUUCAUAAACUUAAAGCAGAAAUUAGAACGCUGGACUUUUCUUAAAGUGCCUAUGACACGAAAUUUCACCCCAAAUGUUUAUGAUUGCAUUGUAAAGAUCACUUAAAAUAACUUAAUAAUUUCUUUUAUAGAAUUUUGAUAACUUGCUUGCAAGAUAUUCAACUUUGUUUCAUAUGCAAAUAUCACCGGUGUGACAUCACAUAGCAUAAUGAGAUUUUGAAAACGCAAUAUUUUACCUUGAUAAAAU